GUACCGCAAACCGACACAGGUAGUCAAGAUGAGAAUUCUAAGGUGAGCGAGCGAACUCUCGUUAAGGAACUCGGCAAAAUGACCCCGUAACUUCGGGAGAAGGGGUGCUCUUUAGGGUUAACGCCCAGAAGAGCCGCAGUGAAUAGGCCCAAGCGACUGUUUAUCAAAAACACAGGUCUCUGCUAAACCGUAAGGUGAUGUAUAGGGGCUGACGCCUGCCCGGUGCUGGAAGGUUAAGAGGAGUGGUUAGCUUCUGCGAAGCUACGAAUCGAAGCCCCAGUAAACGGCGGCCGUAACUAUAACGGUCCUAAGGUACCGCAAACCGACACAGGUAGUCAAGAUGAGAAUUCUAAGGUGAGCGAGCGAACUCUCGUUAAGGAACUCGGCAAAAUGACCCCGUAACUUCGGGAG
rnacentral:rRNA from 1 species